AUGUGCGCUAGUAGGAAUAUUGAUUGCGAUUCAUCUGCACCAGAGCCUGCAACUGCUGCCUCUACUCCGCCUACAAGUGUCGACUUCGCUGGCCUCGUAGGGUACCGAUUUCCUCCUGAUUUGUGUGCAUGCCAUUGA
rnacentral:rRNA from 1 species